CUCGGUCCGUUCUCCCCAGCCUUCCCCCCGGAACCGCAGCCGCAGACACCAGUGUUCCGGCCUCAAACCGGCCCUCCCGCUUUCCUCCGCCGGGGAUUGGGGCUCAGGGGGCCCAAUGGCGGGACGAGGCUGAAGGUGAACGCCUGACCGUCAUGGCAGCAGACUGCGCUGGUAUCGCCCUGAGUUGUCACGGCUGAGUCCCCACAUGUAAAGCCCCUUGGCAGUGGGUCACCGCCAACUAAGGUGGCCGCCAGUCCCUUAUUACAAGGAUGUCCUUUAUUUUUUCAUCUCUGAACAAGAUCGGGAGUUUUUGAGUGCUGCAAAAAGCAGCAAGAAAUACCCCAUGCGAAUGUAGCCUCAGUGGCAUUGUGCACCCUGGAACCCUUGGCAGCAGGCCUGGUCCCUCAGCUGGCUGGGCAGAGCCAUUCCGUGAUGUCAGCCUUCCCUGGAAUCCGGAGGAGAGUGAAGGUGGCACACAGAGAACUGUUGCUAUGGCAACAGCAGAAGCUGUCUGCAUCGGUGGGGCCAGGCAGGGCCGGGAAUAGCUUUCUUGGGAGGUGAGGACAUUCCCGCCGUGCGCAGACACUGCUCUAGAGACAAUGGAGCUAGGAGAAGCAACACAGCCAGCAGAUACAGGGGAGCCUAAGGAGCCAGAGUGUUCUAACCCUCUCCUGAGGCCUGCUCUCACUGGAGAUGUGGAGGGUGUGCAGCAGAUUUUUGCUGACCCAGAAGAUCCUGAUGGUGAAAAGGCCAUGCAACUUCUCAUGGAAAAGGACAUCAUAGGGAGAGACCUACUGUAUGCAACCAGCAUGGCUGGACAGAGUGCAGUCAUCAGAGCACUGGCAAAAUACGGAGUGGUCAUGAAGGAUAAAACAGCCAGAGGUUACACACUCCUCCACUGUGCUGCGGCCUGGGGCCAGCUGGAGACUUUGAAAACUCUGGUAGAACUGGAAGCUGAUAUUCUAGCGAUGACCUUCCGGGGUGAAAAGGCCCGAGAUAUAGCCGACCGUUAUGGACAGACAGACUGCGUCGAAUUCCUGGACUGGGCAGAAGCUAAGCAGGCUCUGCGGACGUUCAUUGCCCACAUCCAGGCAACGAUUGCAGACCCAGAAAAGGUGCAGGGAAGGCUGAACAAGGAAGACAAGAACAUGUCUCUCAGCGCCUGUCGUGUAAAAUCUGACUGGCUUGAGAACACCAAGGAGCCCACCAGACAAGACUUUCUGGAUCAGAAGCAGCAGCUGGAAGAUAUCAUGCUUCCCAUCUUCACAAAGCUGGCCACGCCCCGUCCUCUGACAGCGAAGAGCACCAGGUCGGCGCUGAACUGCAGCAAAAUCUGAAGCUUCAUUUCCACAGCUCCUGCCUGUCUCGGGGUCUUAUAUUUUUUUAAGCCUCACACAUAUAUAGUCAUUAAUCUGAACAUACAGCCCGAGAGCCAAACUUUGGUAUUUCCAGGACAAGAUUACCUGAGGGUGUGCGGUGGCAGAAGGAUUAUGGGAGAGGCUGGAUCCACAUGCAGACGCAGCAGCAUGGACCCAUCUGUGAUUAGUUUCUAAAUGCCAAGAUAGCAAGGUUGUUUGCGGUUCGUGGAAGGUCAGAUGAGGUGCUGGCUACCCUACAUUACCGGAGUCUGUGGCACUUUAAAUUGAAUUCAACGAGACUUUAUUGGCAUGACAAGCUUCACAAGUGUUGCCAAAGCAUAAGAAAGGGACAGACUCCUCAGGACUCUGUCAGAGGCAGGGAUGACCCACUCGUGAUGAGAUUAGACACUGUCUUUGGGGUUAGAUGUCCUGUAGCUAGGUGUCAUAGCUGGCCCUUUCUGAUCCAGAGGCUGGUUGUUUCAGCACCUCAGUAAUGUAGAGGCUGAUCUUGACGUGCUGAGCACCUGCAACUCCCAGUGACUCCAAUAGGGGCAGCCCUUCUCAGGGGCAGGGUUUUCAUUAUAGUGGUUUUUUUCCACCACAAGUCUACUAAUUGCAGACCUGCCUGAGAUCCCCAGCGCCUGCUCACCCUGAACUUUCCACUUUAAAAAAAUGAGCCUGACCUUGCAGUUCCUCUUUGAUGCUUUCCCAGGUGUAGCUGUUGUCCCAGAUGGCAGAAAACCUUCUGACGAUCAUGCCUCCUGACACAGGAAGGACAAAGCACAGCUGGACUGUCAGGCUCCCUCUCCCACUUCAGUUAUUACUAUAGGGCCCUAGUCAUGUGAGGUGCUUUGCAAACAUAGACGGCAAAGGCCCUGUCCUGGAGAGUUUGCAAUCUAAAAAUAGCAAAGUCUCUCACUUGUCCCUCCCUCGAAUCAACGGGUGUAGUUUAAAAUCCUGCAGCCGAGCAUGUGCUGGAGGCUGUGCUCUGGCUACCCUGGCUGUCCUUUGCAGAGCUUCUGGGGUUUUUUUUCCAUGCUGGUUUAAACCUCAGUCUCAUUCUUGUUCAGGUCAAGGCCGUUCUGUGACGGGGAUGAGGGCUCGGCCUACAUGUGCUCAUUGUGUUCUGGACCAAACGUGGGUGGUCCCCAAGGGUUAUGCUGGGGCACCUUUCCCUGGCUGGAAUCGCCUGGGUGCCAGAGCCUCAGUGAUUUGCCUCCCAUUCUGUAGUGCUACAUGUUUUCCACAAGCACAGUGCUCACAAGAGGCUUUCAGCCAGGAUCCCUCAAAAUGAAUUCCAUCCGUUCAGCUGGCUAGUGGAGCCAGCACAUGGCUGCUCAGACAAUCUCCUUGAUGAUGCAAAAAAUUAAUCAAAUAGCAUAAAAGCUCCUCGGCCAUCCAGCAUGACUCACUGUCAUGGCAGCAGGCAGAAAGCCAGCUUGCACCAAACAUGCUGUAAAAUGAGUCAAAUCCACUGCGGUAGGAGCCGCUGCUUUUGAUUACUUAGCUGUCCUGUGCAUGCACCCUUCAUUUGAGCUCUGCCUGGGUUCCUAAGGCAAGCUGGUGGGUAAGUCAGGGAACAGCUAUGUUUGGCCCCUCUGUUGCCACAGGCACCUUAUAAAAUGCCCUCUUUAAAAAGUGUACCUGUCCGUUCACUCCAGGUGCAGUUCAGCCUAUGUGGAUAGCCACUGCAAAGCUCAUGCCUCACUUAAACCUGACUUAGAAGGUUUAAGUGGAGCAUAGGCCUUGCACUGGCUCUCUGCGUGAGGGGAGGAGAAUGUCACAAAGAGCUGACACAUUGCUAAGCAAGAGGACGUGACCCUCAAGUGUCAGUGUAAAGGACUUGCUGAAGGGGGCCCUGUGAAUGACUACCUUAGAUGCACCUGUAUAUGUGGCUCUGAGUCUGCUCCGAGCGUCCCAUCCUGGAGCUGUGUGACUCCUCAGAAACUAUUCCAGCAGCUACAGCUGCUAGAUCUCUUUGUAGCUGCCAGUUAACAAGCUGAACUCACUUGGAGGUAAUAAAACCUGUUCUGCUCUCGGUUAAAGUGCAGUUAUGGUCAGAAAAGGGUCUGUAAAAAUAGCCAAUUGAUUUGCAGAGCACCUUUGAGUUCCAACUGACCUAAGUGCUUUUGGCCCGUCCCUAUGUUAAGUCUUGUUUAUUGUCAAACCAGCACACAGCCCUUUCACAGCAGAUGGGAAAGCUGUUGCAACCUGCAUAAGGGUCCUUCCUCCACUUUCUUCCCAUCUGCAGUCUUCACUCAUGGUGCAUACAUGGCUUAUGUUGGGCACAAUGUAAAUAGCAUGACCUUCUUUUUUCUCAGCACCUCUCGUUUCACUAAGGUCCAUUUCUCACCUGAGCCCCUUGCUGGGUUUUUCCCCUCUUGUAACUGGUAAAUUUACCCUUUUCCACAGGAAGUGCAAAUGAGUGUGCAAACAUUCACUCUUGCCUUGCUGCAUUUGACUCUCCCUCCUGUGUAUUUGUACCUCUCCCGUUUUUGAUCAUGAGUAACUUUAAAACAAAGAAACACUCAGUAAAGACAGAGAUGGAGCAGUGCUGCGGGCUGCCAUAGCAUUCUUAGCUGUUUUUAGGAGGUCAGGAAAGCCUCUGGAAGCUCAGAGACCUGGCCUAGGCAACCACUAGGAGGCAGCAUGGUCAGAUAGAUAGGGUUUGGAUUGGGAGGCAGGAGACAGAGCAUCUACUCCUGGCUCAGGCACUGACCUAUGUGGGACCUUGGGCAAAUCACUUACCCCAUCUGUGCCUGAUUCCCCUCUCAGCCUUUGUCUUGUGUAUUUAGAUUGCAAGCUCUUGAGGGAAAAGAUGACAUUUUGCUGCCCUAGCCCAGCAAGUCGGAUUUCCCUUGGGACCCCUUGGCGUUACCUUCAUAUAAACAGUCGCCUUGCUGCUGAAUAUGGCACUGAUACUGUCUUUGUGAAAGGAGCAGCUUCACAGCCCACAGGACAGGAAACCCUGGCCUAUCACCCUCUCAAAAUAGGCAUGAGGUGUUCAUUCCUGGCACAGAGGUGAUGCUAAGAGACUGGCUGAGGGCUCUGUGCCUCAAGGCCUUGGAGCUCCUGGAAAAGGCUCUGCCCCUUGGCUAUAACCAUCUCCCGCUGUGACAUUAGAAAAGGGAAUGGUGGGGUGUUACCAGUGAAGUGCUGUGACCAAUAGCAACAUGAGCCAGAGGAAGCAGCAGAAAAUAGAAACGAGGCCAAGGAUCCACAGCACGUGGCCAGGCAGUGACGUAGGUUUCAGGCAGAGGUGAAGAGUAUUGGUAUAAUCCCCUGUAUCAGAACUGACACCAACCUCGUUGCCUGCCUCUGAAGAGCACCAGCGCUUACAAUGUUCCUCCUCCUCCUCCUCAAGAACAAGGAACCACAUCAAAUCUGGUGCAACUCCAAUGAAAACUACACCUGCUUCCAGCUGGUCCGCAUGUGAGCCAUGGGCUGCAAUUCUGCAGUCAGGCACAGCUUCCACUGGGAGCUGAGUCCCUCUAAUGAAGGGUAAAGCUGGGCCCAAGAGCUUUGAGCAAAGGGGGGAUAUAAUAGAGGUCUAUAAAAUCAUAAAUGGUGUGGAGAAAAUGAAUAGGGAAGUGUUAAUGCCUUUGCAUGACACAAGAACCAGGGGUCAUCUGAUAAAAUUAAUAGGCAGCCAGUUUAAAACAGACAAGAGGAAAUACUUUACACAAUGGACAGUCAACCCCUGUGGAACUUGUUGCCGGGGAUGUUGUGAAAGCCAAAAGUAUAACUGGGUUAAAAAAAAAGAUUUGGACCUAUCCUCUAGAAAGUUAUCUAUCAAUGGCUAUUAGCUAAGAUGGUCAGGGAUGCAACUUCAUGCUUUGGGUGUUCCUAAACCUCUGGCUGCUGGAAACUGGGACUGGACAAUAGGGGAUGGCUCACUUGAUAACAGCCCUGUUAAUUCUUUCUGAAGCGCCUGGCAUUGGCCUCUGUCAGACGCAGGAUACUGGGCUAGAUGGAGCAUUGGCCUGACCCAGUCUGACUGUUCUAAUGUACACUCUCCUUGGCAGCAUUGUUGGGCUCACUAACAGAGAUUCCAAUCUGAAAGAAACCUCAUCUCAGGCUAUGCAUAUGUUAGUACCCCACACAGCUAUGCAGGAGGCUGUGAUUGCGUUUCCAGUCACAUACUCACUAGGCCUCAGCGCUGCAGCAGGCUUUGGGGAGCAGACAAAUUAAUUAAAACUGUGUUGUUCCAGAGGGAGAAUCUUAAUGGCUUGGACAGCACGAUGAAUCAUGCUGUGGUAUUCCUCAAUAUUAACCUAUUCCUCAUGAAUAGCGCAGUACGUUUACAAAGAACAGCCUAGUCCCUCCAUUACCUCAUGCAAGAAACCUUUCAUCUAGCAAGCUAAAGCUUCGUUAGGGCUGCUGGCUUUGUAGCACUUCUGUGCCUGUGUUAAUACUUCUGUAGCAACAGUCGCACGACCCUGAGCUAAACCUCACCACUCCUAAGCAGGUAAGUAUUAUCCCAGUUUUACAGAAGGGGAUCUUAAGGCAACUAGAAGCUAAGUGACUUGCUCAGAGUCACAUAAGGAAUUUGUGGCAGAACGGGGGACAGAACCAGAUAUCUUGAGCUAGCCUGAUAGAAAAAGUCUAAACUCCAGAACUUAGAAGUGAAGCAGAAGAGCCACACCUGGGUCUAACUUUUACCUUCAUAGGCUAUUUCUAACUUUCUCAUGCCCGUCAUCAGGUUUUUAUUAACAUGGUGUUGAUCCUCCAGCUGCAGCUGAUUCUGCUGGUGUGUGAAUGGGCAGGGCAUGUAUGGUAGCAGAGCCUGCCAGAGAAGUGUAUGGUGGUAUGCUUAGGGCUGCCAGUGGUGGUGGAAGCAGAGUUUGAUGUAGUUCCUUAAACCAACUUUACUAAUUCCUUUCCCUGAGCUCUGGUCUACACUAGGACUUUAGGUCGAAUUUAGCAGCAUUAAAUCGAUGUAAACCUGCACCCGUCCACACGAUGAAGCCCUUUAUUUCGACUUAAAGGGCUCUUAAAAUCGAUUUCCUUACUCCACUCCUGACAAGUGGAUUAGCACUUAAAUCGGCCUUGCCGGCUCGAAUUUGGGGUACUGUGGACACAAUUAGACGGUAUUGGCCUCCGGGAGCUAUCCCAGAGUGCUCCAUUGUGACCGCUCUGGACAGCGCUCUCAACUCAGAUGCACUGGCCAGGUAGACAGGAAAAGAACCACGAACUUUUGAAUCUCAUUUCCUGUUUGGCCAGCGUGGCAAGCUGCAGGUGACCAUGCAGAGCUCAUCAGCAGAGGUGACCAUGAUGGAGUCCCAGAAUCCCAAAAGAGCUCCUGUAUGGACUGAAUGGGAGGUACGGGAUCUGAUCGCUGUAUGGGGAGAGGAAUCGGUGCUAUCAGAACUCCGUUCCAGUUUUUCGAAAUGCCAAAACCUUUGUGAAAAUCUCCCAGGGCAUGAAGGACAGAGGCCAUAACAGGGACCCGAAGCAGUGCCGCGUGAAACUGAAGGAGCUGAGGCAAGCCUACCAGAAAACCAGAGAGGCGAACGGCCGCUCCGGGUCAGAGCCCCAAACAUGCCCCUUCUAUGAUGAGCUGCAUGCCAUUUUAGGGGGUUCAGCCACCACUACCCCCAGCCGUGUUGUUCGACUCCUUCAAUGGAGAUGGAGACAAAACGGAAGCAGGUUUUGGGGACGAAGAAGAUGAUGAUGAUGAGGUUGUAGAUAGCUCACAGCAAGCAAGUGGAGAAACCGGUUUUCCCGACAGCCAGGAACUGUUUCUCACCCUAGACCUGGAGCCAGUACCCCCCGAACUCACCCAAGGCUGCCUCCUGGACCCAGCAGGCGGAGAAGGGACCUCUGCUGCAUGUGUUUCAGUGAUCACAGGAUCUUCUCCUUCCCAGAGGCUAGUGAAGCUUAGAAAGAAAAAAAAACGCACUCGCGAUGAAAUGUUCUCAGAGCUCAUGCUGUCCUCCCACAGUGACAGAGCACAGACGAAUGCGUGGAGGCAAAUAAUGUCAGAGUGCAGGAAAGCACAAAAUGACCGGGAGGAGAGGUGGCGGGCUGAAGAGAGUAAGUGGCGGGCUGAAGCUCAAAUGUGGCGGCAGCGUGAUGAGAGGAGGCAGGAUUCAAUGCUGAGGCUGCUGCAGGACCAAACCAGUAUGCUCCAGUGUAUGGUUGAGCUGCAGCAAAGGCAGCUGGAGCACAGACUGUCGCUACAGCCCCUGUGUAACCAACCGCCCUCCUCCCCAAGUUCCAAAGCCUCCACACCCAGACGCCCAAGAACGCGGUGGGGGGGCCACCGGCCAACCAGCCACUCCACCACAGAGGAUUGCCCAAACAAAAGAAGGCUGGCAUUCAAUAAAUUUUAAAGUUGUAAACUUUUAAAGUGCUGCGUGGCAUUUUCCUUCCCUCCUCCACCACCCCUCCUGGGCUACCUUGGUAGUCAUCCCCCUAUUUGUGUGAUGAAUUAAUAAAGAAUGCAUGAACGUGAA